rnacentral:lncRNA from 1 species
UUUGACACACUUUAUCCAGAUGAAGUAUGAAGCUCAGUGUAAACUUGAGCAACAACGUAAUUUACCCGGAUAAAGAAUGAAGGAAGAUUAAGCUUCAAAAAAACUCUAUAUUUGCAGGGUAAACAAAACAGAAUUUUACUUGGUAAAAGAAAGCAAAAAUUGAGAGAGUAUUUUUUGGAAUGAUUUCUAUUGAAAUUUAUUGGAUUGAAAAAUGGCAUACUGCCAGUACAUAUACCUGUCAUAAGCUGGUCAGAUUUGACAAGUUUCACUUACUAUUUUUAGGCUUCAUUGCAACUUGCACAACUUGCAAAUUGCAACUUGUAAAAUUAGAUAAACUGAUAUAUCAAUCUUAUCAGCACCUAAUGCAUUAAAUACACUACCUACUUAGUUCUAAUUUAACUAAGUUACAAAAUAUUACAAAAUGAAACUGAAAUUGAACAAUAGCAUCAACUUCAGUAGCUGUAAGUACUUCAUCCGGAAAUACUACAACAGCUUGAUCUGCUUCUUCAUACUUCAUCCGGAUAACUUAUGUUGUACGGUUUGCUCUUUAGUUGCUUUAUCUGCUGCAUGCAUGCCAACUUCAACACUCCUCCUUGGCUUGCAUUGUGCAAGCUCCUAUUUUGGCUCUUAAAUCUUCAAAUCUUGACACACUAAGGGGCUUUGUUAGGAUAUCAGCAAGUUGUUCUUCAGAACUGCAAUGAAUCAGCUUCACUUCUUGAGCUUGCUCCAUCUCUUUAACAAAGUGAAAUUUGAUCUUGAAGUGUUUUGUUCUCCCAUGGAACACUGGAUUUUUUGCAAUUGCAACAGCAGAUUGGUUGUCACAAUUAAUCUCUGUUGCUUCCCUUUGGUGUUGAUUUAAAUCGACCAUUGUUUUUCUUAGCCAAAUGGCUUGGUUGAUAGCUCCUGCAGGUGCCACAUACUCUGCUUCAACAGUUAAUUGAGCAACAACAGUUUGCUUCUUUGAACUCCAGCAAAAGAUGGCUAAACCAAGGGUGAAUAGAUACCCUGAGGUACUCUUCAUAUCAUUAUCGAUCCAGCCCAAUCACUAUCAGUAUAGCCAAUUAAUUUCAUGCUUUCAGCCUUGGUGAACAUCAUUCCAUAGCUCAGUGUACCUUUAAUGUACCUGAGAACUAUUUUGGCAGUUUGGAAGUGCUUUUCAUUGCAGCAAUGCAUGAAUCUUGAAAGCAAACUUACAGCAAACAUAAUGUCUGGUCUAGUGGCAGUUAAAUAGAGUAAACAUCCAACUAGACUUCUAUAGGUUGAUUCACUAACCUUCUCAAAAUCGCCUUGGCUUGAUAGUUUCUCUCCAAUGGCAACUGGUGUACUUGUUGCCUUGCAAUUCUGCAUGGAGAAUUUGUUUAGAAUUUUUAAGGCAAAAACCUUCUGACUUAGGAAGAUCUUUUGCUGAGUUUGGGAUAUUUUCAUGCCAAGGAAAUAAGACAUUUGUCCCAAAUCAAAUAUCUCAAACACUUGUUGCAUCUUGCACUUGUUGCAUCUUGCAUUUGAAGUUUGUCAACAUUACUUUGUCUCCUCCUGUUACUAACAAAUCAUCAACUUAUAGAGACACUAUUAGUUGAGUUUCUCUACCUUACUUUUUCACAUACAAAGUAAGUUCACUGAUGCUUCUUUCAAAUCCAAGGCUAGCUAGAUAGCCAUCAAUCCUGCUAUACCAGGCUCUUGGAGCCUGUUUCAAGCCAUACAAGGCUUUCUUCAGUUUGUACACCUUGUCUUCUUGAUCAACAAUUUUGAAGCCUUCAAGCUGCUCAACAUGUAUCUCUUCUUCAAGGAGACCAUUGAGAAAGGUUGACUUCACAUCGAGUUGAUGAAUUUUCCAUUGCAAUUGUGCUGCUAAGGCAACUAGUAGCCUUAUGGUGUCAAGCCUAGCCAUUGGUGCAAAGGUUUCAAAGUAGUCAAUGCCAUACUUUUGGCUGAACUCUUUUACAACCAGCAUUGCUUUCAAUUUGUUCAAGCUUCCAUCAGCAUUGUGCUUGCCUCUAAAUACCCACUUCACUCCAAUGACCUUUCUAUUGAUUGGUCUUUCAACUAGCUGCCAGUCUGAUUCUUCUCAAUCAUACUGAUUUCAUCAGCCAUUGCCUGUUUCCAUCCUUGAUGAGCUUCAGCUUCUUCAAAACAGUUUGGUUCAAUAGCAGCCACAUGAGCUCUUUCAUAAAUCUCAGCCAAUGGUCUAGUGCCUCUGACUGGUUCAUCAUCAAUGUCCAUUUCAAGACCAUUUUGAUCAGCUUCAGUUUGGUCUGUUGCAAGAUCUUCAGAGACUGCCUCUGGUUCAUUUUUAUCCCAGUUCCAGCUUACUUUCUCAUCGAAUACAACAUCUCUGCUCACAAAGACUUUGUUUGUUGAAGGAUCAAGUAUUCUAUAACCCUUCUUGAUACUGCUGUAGCCCGCCAGAAUACCAGGAUGAACUUUUUUAGCAAGCUUGUCUCUUUUUGCUGCUGGAAUAUGAGCAUAACAAACACAUCUAAAGACUCUUAGGUGAGCCAAUGAUGGUUUGAACCCGAACCAGGCCUCGAAUGGAGUUUUUUGAGCCAAAGCCUUGGUUGAGAACCUAUUUUGGAGGUAAACAGCAGUGUUAACUGCUUUUGCCCAAAAUGUCUUAGGCAAAUUUUUUUCAAACAUCAAGCACCUGGCCAUAUCCAUCAAGCUUCUGUUCUUUCUUUCACUUACACAAUUUUGUUGAAGUGUAUAAGUGUUGGUAAGUUGGUGUUUGAUGCCUGCUUCAUCACAAAACGUAUUUAACCUAGAUGAAGUAUACUCAGUCCCAUUAUCAGACCUCAGUGUCCUCAACUUGCAACCUAUUUCAGUCUCUGCUGCAGCUUUAAACUUAAAAAAUACUGAAGCCACUUCUGAUUUCUGUUUCAAAAAAUAAAUCCAGCAAUAUCUCGAGUAAUCAUCAAUGAAUAAGAUGAAAUACCUACUGCUAUUCAGAGAUUGAGUCUUCAUUGGACCACACAUAUCAGUGUGUACAAGUUGCAGUCUUUGAGAGGCUCUCCAAGCUUUGUUUGUAGGAAAUGGUAGUCUAGCUUGUUUUCCUAGCUGACAUACUUCACAAACUUCUUCUUUUUCAACUGAGUUAGUGAAGUUUUCAACCAAAUCUUUUUUGGUUAGCUGAGUCAUUGAGUUGUAGUUGACAUGGCCAAGUCUUUUGUGCCAUAGCUUGGAUUCAUCCUGAGCAGCUGUGUAGGCACUGUCUACGCCUUUGUUCCAGUCCACCACAAAACUUUUGUCAGCCAUGGUCACUGAUAUGAGCUUGGAUCCAUUUGGAUCACUGAUUAGGCACUCAUUGCCUUUGAAUACCACAGAGUAGCCCUUUUCAAGCAACUGAGCUAUACUGAGCAGGUUUCUAUCUAUUUCAGGCACCAAAAGUACAUUUGACACAAGUUUGGUACCUGUAGGAGUGUCAAUCAGCACAUCUCCCUUGCCUUCCGCUUUGAUGAAGUGUCCAUUUCCAACCUUCACCCUUGUUUUGAAGCUUUUGUCAAUUUUCUUAAAGAUGGCAGCAUCAGGAGUCAAGUGGUUAGUACAUCCACUGUCAAUCAACCAUCCUUUUGUGGCUUUUCUUUUGGUAGCUGAGCAAGAAACUGCAAAGACUUGCUUUUCUUGGUCACUGCCUUCUUCUGCUACUCGAGCUUCAGCUCUUGGCUGUUGAGGUUGAUUUGGCCUCUGUUUGACUUUGUUUUUGCAAACUUUUUCUGCAUGACCCAUCUUUUUGCAGAUUUUGCACUGCACAUCAGGUUUAAACCAACAUACUUCACUCGGAUGACUUAGCCUUUUACAGUGUGGGCAAGGUGGAUAUUUUCUUGCACCAUCUGUCUUUGGCUUGUCUGACCAGGUUUUCUUCCCCUUGUAUCUAGAGGAGUUUGAGGCUGGUCUAGUUUUGGCUUGGAAGGCACCUUCUUGAUGCUCCUCCAGUCUACUUGCUCUCCUUUGCUUGAGCAUAAAGAGCAUUAAUCAGUUCUGUCAAGGAUAUGCUGGUCAAGUCCCUUGAGUCUUCAAGAGAUGAGAUCUUUGCCUCAUACCUUUCAGGUAAGGUUGAAAUCACCUUCUCUACAAUUCUUGCUUCACUAAAUUGAUCUCCAAGUAGCCUUAUGCUGUUUACUACAGCCAUGAUUCUGUUUGAGUACUGCUUGACAGUUUCUUCCUCUUUCAUCUUCAAGUUUUCAAAGUCCCUUCUUAAAUUUAGUAGCUGCUGCUGCCUUGUUCUGUCAGUCCCUUGGAACUCCUCCUUCAACUUAUCCCAGGCCUGCUUUGGUGACUCAUAAGCCAUGAUUCUUGUGAAAAUCACAUCAGAUACACUAUUCUGGAUACAUGACAUAGCUUUAUGCCUCUUUGUUCUUUCAUCAGCAUGCUGCCUGAUUUGAGCCACUGUUGGAUUGGCUCUGAGUGGUUCUGGUUCAACAUCUGAGUUGACCACUUCCCACAAAUCAAAUGCCUGCAGGUAGGCCUUUAUUUUCACUAUCCAAAUGUGGUAGCCCUCUCCAUUAAAACCUGGUGGUGCAGCUGGUGAGAAGCCUGAUGAAGCCAUGGUUGUAAGAAUUGAAAUAUGACAGGUCCACUAAGAAUAAGGCUCUAGAUACUAAUUGUUGGUGUUUGACACACUUUAUCCGGAUGAAGUAUGAAGCUCAGUGUAAACUUGAGCAACAACGUAAUUUACCCGGAUAAAGAAUGAAGGAAGAUUAAGCUUAAAAAAAAACUCUGUAUUUGCAGGAUAAACAACACAGAAUUUUACUUGGUAAAAGAAAACAAAAUUUGAGAGUAUUUUUUGGAAUGAUUUCUAUUGAAAUUCAUUGGAUUGAAAAAUGGCAUACUGCCAGUACAUAUACCAGUCAUAAGCUGGUCAGAUUUGACAAGUUUCACUUACUAUUUUUAGGCUUCAUUGCAACUUGCACAACUUGCAAAUUGCAACUUGUAAAAUUAGAUAAACUGAUAUAUCAAUCUUAUCAGCACCGAAUGCAUUAAAUACACUACCUACUUAGUUCUAAUUUAACUAA